GGAGCUUUGACCUAUACCCAGUUCAGUUGGGUGGAUGGGGAAGGGACAGGGGGAGCAGGGGAAUGGGAAGGGGAAGGGGAGCCAGAUUGGGAGGCUAAGCCAGGAUAACUCAGGAAGGGUCGCCUGCUUCUCUUCCACAAGCCUCUGGAGACCUGGUCUAGGUUCCCCGGGUAAGGAGUCCCGGGCGAGGACGGGGGUCCC
rnacentral:lncRNA from 1 species